rnacentral:rRNA from 1 species
UACAGAGGGUGCAAACGUUGCUCGGAAUGAUUGGGCGUAAAGCGCGCGCAGGCGGUCCUUUAAGUCUGAUGUGAAAGCCCACGGCUCAACCGUGGAGGGUCAUUGGAAACUGGGGGACUUGAGUACAGAAGAUGAAAGCGGAAUUCCACGUGUAGCGGUGAAACGCGUAGAGAUGUGGAGGAACACCAGUGGCGAAGGCGGCUUUCUGGUCUGUAACUGACGCUGAGGCGCGAAAGCGUGGGGAGCAAACAGG